GUAUUGUAACUAAUGAGGGAGUCAAGCGUUUUCUUAAACAUUAGGUAUCCAUUAUUACUUACAAACAUUCUUGAAUCUGGUAGAAAAUGGUACAGGAUUUGGAAAGUAAAGAGGGGUGUGUGUUUAGUCUGUGGAAGCUUAAUAUGUGAAUAGUGAGCAGCUCUGUGCUAGAACUCUCACCCUCAUGUGUCCCACGCUAGGCGGAGGGGAGGCUGCCCACUCUGGCGCCCCUCCUCGAGCAAGUUCAGAGUCGGCCUUCAGGCUGUACCACCACCUUUACCUCCCCAGUUCCUCUGAGGCCAGCAAAUGCCCUGAAACCCACCCCCCGAUCCCAUUCCCUGACCACAGCCCUGACUUCCACACGAGUGGGCGAGCUGGACUCCAGCAUGGAGGAUGCACGGGCAAGCAGCGUUUUGUGUUAUUUUUAUUUUAUUGCUUUUGUUUUCUUAGUUCCCUCAGUUUAUACUCCACCACUGGCCCAUCUCCCACCCCCACCCUCACCCCCUAGAUUGGGCUCCACACUUCAUUCCAGUCUGCUUCACACACAGAUGCCAGGUAGCUGGUAGAUGCUUUCUUGUUUGCUAGAAUGCCUCUAUGCAAGCUCUCAGAUGUCUGGGGUUUUUUUCCCAUUAAAUGUCCUAUUUAUGCCCCAAACUGAAAUCAUGGAUCUGAGCCAAGCUCGUGCCCUUUGAUGCUGCAGGCUGCCCUCCUGUGUGCUGCCUGGAGAAGGGCAGAAUCCCUGGGACCUUGAGCGCCACUCAGGUGGACUCAUACUUUGCUUUAGCUAAAAAAGAAAAAAAAAAAAAAUUCCUGCAGAGAAAACUAGUGGAAGAAUCUCUUGUGCCAUUGUUCUAGCUCAGGCAGGGGAACUGCCAGCACUGGAACUGCUAAAUAGAGCUAUUUAGUCUUUUUCUGAUAAUAUGAAGUAAAAUAUAUUACAUCUUAUAGAAUUCAGAGAACUAGAAGUCAGAAAUUACCACAUCGGCUAAUUUUUCCUUGUCAUAGAAUGUGGAAUAAAAUUAUAAAUCGCACCCUCGCACAUUGUAGUGUCUGCAUUACAACGCCCUACGAGAUGUGGGCCAGGCCCUGCCCUUACAUCUCUGACACUCCCCAGCCCUUCUCUCUGCUCUGCCCAUACUGGACAGAUAAGGCUUUUCAAGUAAUCUGCCCCUGACCAGCCUGUUUCAAAUUGCAACACCUCUACUCCCAAAUGUUCACUAUUCCUACUUGCUUUUUUUCCAGGGCAUUUAUCUCCCCGGCUAACAUGUCACAUAUUUGUGUGUUUCUCUUAUGUAUUUCGCUUCCCUAUGAAGGCAGGAAUCAGCCUGCCUUGUUUGCUGCUGUAUCCCCAGCACAUCAAAGAGUGUGUGGCACCCAGUAGGGGCUGAAUAAAUAUUUGAAUAAACAGCCCCAUUUUAUUUCCUUCUCUCAUGUAAGAUUCUAUCUUGAAAGUGACUUGAAACUCACAAGAGUUUCCCAUAACCAGCGGCUGCAUAAAUUGCUGGCUGGGUUUUCCCAGUGGGGAGAGGACUGGUUUCUGGAGUUACCUUUUGUUCUUGCUCUGGAUAGGUUUUCAUUCCGAGAAUUGAGAAGAUGAAUACGACUAUAAACCCAAUUACUUUGUUUUCCAGGAUAAUUGGAAUAUGUUCUCCAGAGAUGGUGACAUCCUUCAGGGAAUAAACUGCUGUCUAGGAUAUAAACUCUAUGAGGACAGGGGUUGUUGACUUGUUCGCUGCUGUAUGCCCAGCACACCUAGAAUUGUGCCUCACACACAGAAAGUGUGCCAUAAGUAUUUUUGACUGCAUACCUUGUAAAUAUGUUCAACUCUUCUAUAUCUUUAUUAAUCUUUUUGAUGUGCCUGACCUAUCAAUAAUUGCACAAGGUACAUUAAAACCUCCCACUGUCAGUAAUUUUGUCAACUUCUCCCUGUGGUUCUAUUUUCGUUUUUAUAUUUUGAGGAUAUUUUAUUGGGUACAUACAAGUUUGGAAUUGUUGUAACUUCCUGGUGGAAUUAAAAGCUUUUUAAGUAUAAUGGAAGAUUAAUUGCAAAAAUCACCCGAAUUUUCCCUCCCUCCCUGUAUGUACACCUUUUGCAUUGUGACUUCGCAGCUCCUCCCAGAAACUGGGC
rnacentral:lncRNA from 1 species